AGUGAAAAAGCGAAGCCCCACCCAUAGAGCGAGGUUCGGAAGUCCAGUCUCAUUAGCAUCUCUUGUCUUCUGCGGUGUUGCAGACUUAUCCUCAGCUCAAGCGAGUUUGGGGCGUUAUAGAGGCAGCCAAGUCUCCCCUUGCUGGCGUGGGUACUUGUGCAGAAACUUCCCGAGGUGCUUCUGAGACUGCACAGUGAAGACCGCCGCACUGGAGGUCAGCGCUCCGCCGCGGACUCCCGGCUGACUCUGCCACUCUCCCAGGAGGAGGCGCUGUGCACCUCUGGGUGGUUUCCAGGGCUCGGCUGGCGGUAGAGGGAGCCUUGAGGUUGGAAAAGAUCUAGAGUUAUAAUCUCCGAAAGGAAGAUUUGUAAUGCACUGCGAGUUAGAAAUGUUUUUCUCAUUGCAGCUUCCUUGUUUCAAAAAGAGAAUUUUUGACAGCACUGCAAAGGCACAAGAAACCAGGCACAGUAUAAAAUAUACAAAUAAAACAGGUACCAAGGAACUUAAAACAUUCAACCCAUAACGUCGUCUAGGUUUUUCUGCUUUAAGAAAAUUGACUCAAUUCUUCCAAGAGAAUAACCCUAUUAAAGGCUAAAAAUGGAAGCUCCCAGUUAUGUAGAAGAUAUUUCCAUCUGGAUCCGUCUUAGAAAGUGGAAACAGGAAAUGGCUUAAUCCUAGAGGAGAAGAUAAGACUGGAGAAAUUACUGGGGAAAGGGCGGUUAAGGGCUUUCUGCAAGUGCUUGAGACUAUCCCUGUGGCACCCCCUACCAUAGCCCUAGGAACAAUAGCAUAAGAUCCUUGCACCAAUAAAUGUCACAGAAAGGAUGGAGUUUUCUGCCUUUAAAUGUAAUGUGGACUUUGGCAUUGAGCAUCUCAGCAGCCACUGUGAUGAAUUAAAGACCAGAGAAAUUUUCCUAUUUUCUGGGCACUAGGUCAAAUUCCUGGAAAUAUCUGGAGGGUAAGAACCAGUUAAUGAAAAGAGAAGGUUAAUGCUUUGCAGUGAAGGAAAAGUGACUCGCAUCAGUAGAUUACUAUGAAGCUGCAAGAGGCUUUUGCAUGUAUGAUGACCAGAUGGCCCCACCCAGACCAGCGACUCCUCUGUGGCCCCCACCCAAAAGUGGACUCAGCUCAUGAGGACCAUUUUCUACACCACUGUAAUUGCCUUUCCAACCAAUCAGCAUCACCCAUUCCCUAGCCCCCUGCCUGCCAAACUAUUCUUGAAAAACCCUAACCUUGGAAUUUGGUGGGAGGCUGAUUUGUGUAAUAAUAAAACUUUGAGUAGGG